GAUGUACGCUGGCGGCGUGCCUAAUACAUGCAAGUCGAGCGAACAGACGAGGAGCUUGCUCCUCUGACGUUAGCGGCGGACGGGUGAGUAACACGUGGAUAACCUACCUAUAAGACUGGGAUAACUUCGGGAAACCGGAUCUAAUACCGGAUAAUAUAUUGAACCGCAUGGUUCAAUAGUGAAAGCCGGUUUUGAUGUCACUUAUAGAUGGAUCCUCGCCGCAUUAGCUAGUUGGUAAGGUAACGGCUUACCAAGGCAACGAUGCGUAGGCGACCUGAGAGGGUGAUCGGCCACACUGGAACUGAGACACGGUCCAGACUCCUACGGGAGGCAGCAGUAGGGAAUCUUCCGCAAUGGGCGAAAGCCUGACGGAGCAACGCCGCGUGAGUGAUGAAGGUCUUCGGAUCGUAAAACUCUGUUAUUAGGGAAGAACAAAUGUGUAAGUAACUAUGCACGUCUUGACGGUACCUAAUCAGAAAGCCACGGCUAACUACG
rnacentral:rRNA from 1 species